rnacentral:misc_RNA from 1 species
GUAUUUAGGUUUUCGACCAUCAAAGGUCUACUAAGUUACAUUCUGAUACUGUUAUAGUGUGUGUAAAAAUUCGUAGGAAUGAUUAGGGUUACCCCUUCACAAAGCCUACUAUAAGUGCACAGGUGGAUUGAAAGGCGGAGUGCACAUGCCUUUUUUUGCAAAAAGGCCAGCGACAUCCUAAGGAUUCAAUAAUGAUCCUUCCGCAGGUUCACCUACGGAAA